UUGAAUUAAUCCAUAUAAAUUUUUUAAAAAAUUUUAUAAUUUCCAUUAAAAGAAUUUUUAUAAGCUUUAAAUAUGUUUAAAAAUAAAAUUGUUUUCUUACUCUUCGUUAUUUAUAUAACAAAUGCAUUUGCAGUACCAACAAAUAUUGUAGAAUACAACGACAGAGAAGACAGUGAAGGUGACGUCAAUCAUGAACAUGAACAAACAGUAAAUGAAAACUAUUUUCCAGAAGGCUUCAUGAAUGCCGAAUUAUUGUAUAAAUACAUGACAAAACACUUAAAAAAUAUUUGCCAGUAUUUUACUCUUGAUGAUUGUAAAACGUUAGUCCAAAAUUACGCAAUGUCAAAUCCAAUUAAAGGACUUACACAAGCUGGUAAGAGAUACGUUGUCUAAAUUAUUAGUAAUUUUAUGUAUCUACCCGGAAUAUUAAUAUACACCCACUCAAAAAAUUACAAUUUAAACGCGAUUGUUAUUAUAAUAAUUUAAUAAACAUAGCCGGGGCAUAUUUAAAAUCCAUUUUAGCUGGGGCGACUUAAUUUUUUUUACUUUGGGAAACAGAAAAUUUUCAAUAGUUAAUGAGUAAACGAAUGCCUUAUGUUUAAUGAAUCGCCCUGUAUAUAAAUGAAAAAUUAAUAACUUGUAUUUUAUAUCGAUUGUAAUAAAAAAAAUUAUUUAACUGUUAUAAUAUUUACAAUGUUGUACAUUAUUAAAUAAUGUAUAAAUUUAUAAAUUUUAUAUGUAUCAACUUGAUUAUUUUAAACUAUGAUCUUAUCUUAAAAUAAUAAUCAAGUAAUGUUUAAUUUAAUAUAUAUUUUUUUUUAAACUA